AUGACCAUAAUACAUAAAACAAAUCCACUAAUAAAAAUCAUUAAUUAUUCACUCAUCGACCUCCCCACUCCAUCUCAUAUCUCUAUAUGAUGAAACUUGGGCUGACUUCUUGGCACCUGCUUAAUCCUUCAGAUCAUCACAGGGUUAUAUCUGGCCAUACAUUACACACCAGAUACCUCAAUUUCUUUCUCUUCAGUCGCCUAUAUUAACCGAGAUGUGAACUAUAGCUGAAUUACCCGCUUUUUUCACGCUAACGGUACUUCAACAUUCUUCAUCUGCCUCUUCCUACAUGUCGGCCGAGGCUUAUAUUAUGGCUCAUUCACAUAUUUGGAAACCUGAAACACUGGCAUUAUUCUCUUGCUUACAACCACAGCAACAGCGUUUAUAGGCUAUGUGCUUCCAUGAGGCCAAAUACCAUUCUGAGGCACUACAGUAACCACAAACCUAAUAUCAGCUACUCCAUAUGUCGGGACUGACCUUGCCCAGUGAAUCUGAGGUGAUUUUCAGUUGACAAAGCCACUCUUACACGAUUCUUCACCUUCCAUUUCAUCUUACCUUUCAUCAUUAUAGCCCUAACAAUUCUCCACCUUCUAUUCCUUCACGAAACAGGGUCUAAUAACCCCUCAGGAAUCUCAUCACACUCCGAUAAA
rnacentral:lncRNA from 1 species